GACGAACGCUGGCGGCGUGCUUAACACAUGCGAGUCGAACGGAAAGGCCCUGCUUGCAGGGUGCUCGAGUGGCGAACGGGUGAGUAACACGUGGGUGAUCUGCCCCUUAUUUUGGGAUAAGCCUGGGAAACUGGGUCUAAUACUGGAUAGGACCAUGCUGUAGGUGGUGUGGUGGAAAGAUUAGUUUCGGUAAGGGAUGAGCUCGCGGCCUAUCAGCUUGUUGGUGGGGUAAUGGCCUACCAAGGCGUCGACGGGUAGCCGGCCUGAGAGGGUGGACGGCCACAUUGGGACUGAGAUACGGCCCAGACUCCUACGGGAGGCAGCAGUGGGGAAUAUUGCACAAUGGGCGCAAGCCUGAUGCAGCGACGCCGCGUGGGGGAUGACGGCCUUCGGGUUGUAAACUCCUUUCAGCCAUGACGAAGCCCUUGUGGUGACGGUAGUGGUAGAAGAAGCACCGGCUAACUACGU
rnacentral:rRNA from 1 species